AACGCACCUUGCGCUCCUUGGUAUUCCGAGGAGCAUGCCUGUUUGAGUGUCAUGAAAUCUUCAACCUAAAAGCCUUUGCGGGUUUGUUAGGCUUGGACUUGGAGGCUUGUCGGCUCAUUAGUCGGCUCCUCUUAAAUGCAUUAGCUUGGUUCCUUGCGGAUCGGCUGUCGGUGUGAUAAUUGUCAACGCCGCGACCGUGAAGCGUUUGGCGAGCUUCUAACCGUCUCGUUAGAGACAGAUUAUUGACCUCUGACCUCAAAUCAGGUAGGACUACCCGCUGAACUUAA
rnacentral:misc_RNA from 1 species